rnacentral:ncRNA from 1 species
UAAAUCUGGAGAGUCUCAUAAAUGAGCGCCGAAGGUGUAAGGCUUUUUGUAUAGAGCCAAUCUCUCAGGCAAAAGGACAGAGCUU